rnacentral:rRNA from 1 species
CAGCCGCCGCGGGAAUACGUAGGUGGCAAGCGUUGUCCGGAAUUAUUGGGCGUAAAGGGCUCGCAGGCGGUUUCUUAAGUCUGAUGUGAAAGCCCCCGGCUCAACCGGGGAGGGUCAUUGGAAACUGGGAAACUUGAGUGUAGAAGAGGAGAGUGGAAUUCCACGUGUAGCGGCGAAAUGCGUAGAGAUGUGGAGGAACACCAGUGGCGAAGGUGACUCUCUGGUCUGUAACUGACGCUGAGGAGCGAAAGCGUGGGGAGCGAACAGGAUUAGAUACCCGCGUAGUCCCUGUCUCUUAUAA